rnacentral:lncRNA from 1 species
CGGCCAUUGAAAAAUUACCUGAAUCCAUUGGAUCUUUGAAGAAGCUCAAGACUCUCGAUGCCUCUUAUUGUGCAUCGUUAGCUCGCAUACCCAAUUCAAUAGGCGAUUUAGCAUCUUUGUCUCACCUUGACCUAACGGACUGCAAAGAACUUGAUCAACUUCCAAACUCCAUAGGCUCCCUCAUGUCUCUACAGCAAUUGUUAUUAUCAGGAUGCUGCUCAUUGAGACAAAUCCCAGACUCAAUUGGAAAGUUGACAUCAUUAACUGAGCUGCAUUUGGAAUCUUCGGCCAUUGAAAAAUUACCUGAAUCCAUUGGAUCUUUGAAGAAGCUCAAGACUCUCAAUGCCUCUUAUUGUGCAUCGUUAGCUCGCAUACCCAAUUCGAUAGGCGAUUUAGCAUCUCUGUCUCACCUUGACCUAACGGACUGCAAAGAACUUGAUCAACUUCCAAACUCCAUAGGCUCCCUCAUGUCUCUACAGCAAUUGUUAUUGUCAGGAUGCUGCUCAUUGAGACAAAUCCCAGACUCAAUCGGAAAGUUGACAUUAUUAACCGAGCUGGAUUUGGAAUUUUUGGCCAUUGAAAAAUUACCUGAAUCCAUUGGAUCUUUGAAGAAGCUCAAGACUCUCGAUGCCUCUUAUUGUGCAUCGUUAGCUCGCAUACCCAAUUCAAUAGGCGAUUUAGCAUCUCUGUCUCACCUUUACCUAACGAACUGCAAAGAACUUGAUCAACUUCCAAACUCCAUAGGCUCCCUCAUGUCUCUACAGCAAUUGUUAUUAUCAGGAUGCUGCUCAUUGCGACAAAUCCCAGACUCAAUCGGAAAGUUGACAUUAUUAACCGAGCUGGAUUUGGAAUUUUUGGCCAUUGAAAAAUUACCUGAAUCCAUUGGAUCUUUGAAGAAGCUCAAGACUCUCGAUGCCUCUGAUUGUGCAUCGUUAGCUCGCAUACCCAAUUCAAUAGGCGAUUUAGCAUCUCUGUCUCACCUUGACCUAACGGACUGCAAAGAACUUGAUCAACUUCCAAACUCCAUUGGCUCCCUCAUGUCUCUACAGCAAUUAUUAUUGUCAGGAUGCUGCUCAUUGAGACAAAUCCCAGACUCGAUCGGAAAGUUGACAUCAUUAACUGAGCUGCAUUUGAAAUCUUCGGCCAUUGAAAAAUUACCUGAAUCAAUUGGAUCUUUGAAGAAGCUCAAGACUCUCGAUGCCUCUUAUUGUGCAUCGUUAGCUCGCAUACCCAAUUCAAUAGGCGAUUUAGCAUCUCUGUCUCACCUUGACCUAACGAACUGCAAAGAACUUGAUCAACUUCCAAACUCCAUAGGCUCCCUCAUGUCUCUACAGCAAUUGUUAUUAUCAGGAUGCUGCUCAUUGAGACAAAUCCCAGACUCGAUCGGAAGGUUGACAUCAAUGACUAGGCUGCAUUUGGAAUCUUCGGCCAUUGAAAAAUUACCUGAAUCCAUUGGAUCUUUGAAGAAGCUCAAGACUCUCAAUGCCUCUUAUUGUGCAUCGUUAGCUCGCAUACCCAAUUCAAUAGGCGAUUUAGCAUCUCUGUCUCACCUUGACCUAACGGACUGCAAAGAACUUGAUCAACUUCCAAACUCCAUAGGCUCCCUCAUGUCUCUACAGCAAUUGUUAUUGUCAGGAUGCUGCUCAUUGAGACAAAUCCCAGACUCGAUCGGAAAGUUGACAUCAAUGACUAAGUUGCAU